rnacentral:rRNA from 1 species
AUUUUAGCGAUGAAUGCCUCGGCUCGGGUUACGAUGAAGAACGCGCGAAAUGCG